AGAGAUGUGUGAUGACGCAUAUCAAUAAGCGGAGGAAAAGAAACUAACUAGGAUUCCCUCAGUAACGGCGAGUGAAGCGGGAAGAGCUCAAACUUGAAAUCUUCAAGGUUCUACCUUGACGAAUUGUAGUUUAAAGAAGUGUUUUCUGUUGGAGUUUUGGUAAAAGUUCUUUGGAAUAGGACAUCAUAGAGGGUGAGAAUCCCGUAUUUGACCAUUACUUUCCAGCUGUGUGAUACACUUUCAAAGAGUCGGAUUGUUUGGGAAUGCAGUCCAAAAUGGGUGGUAAAUUUCAUCUAAAGCUAAAUACUGGCGAGAGACCGAUAGCGAACAAGUACCGUGAGGGAAAGAUGAAAAGAACUUUGAAAAGAGAGUUAAACAGUACGUGAAAUUGUCAAAAGGGAAGCGUUUGACACCAGUGUUGUUUUCUCGAAAAUCAAUUAAAAAUGGCAUGAUUUUGUGUUGUAUUGACCUUUAUCAAGCUUUCUUCACUUUUUUCAUUGUCUUUUUUAAUGCACUUUUCGUUUAACAAGUCAACAUCAGUUUCUUUUGUUGUAAAAGGUCAUUGGAAGGUGGCUUUCUUUUCGGAGAAAGUGUUUAUAGCCUUUGGCCUCUGCAAUCGGAGAGAUUGAGGUCUGCAGCGUAGAUCCUUCGGGGUUAGAUGCAUUUGUGCUAAGUUAUAGCCUUUCAUAGACAACUUGUUGACUAUGAUCAGUCAUGUAGCUUACUCGCUUAUGUCAUUUUACCUACGCUUAGGAUGUUGACAGCAGUAUAGACUU
rnacentral:rRNA from 1 species